rfam:Ovis aries breed Texel chromosome 18, whole genome shotgun sequence.
UCCCUGGUGGUUCAACUGGUAUAGAAUCUGCCUGCAAUGCAGGAGACCUGGGUUAUAUUCCUGGCUUGGGAA